CCAUUGCUCUCUGAUCUAGUCCAUUGACCUGAUGCACCAAACAGUGAUGGGCUAUCUCCCAGAUUGAAAUAAUCUAUGGUUUGUAUCUUUGGACCAUUUUUCACUGAAGAUGGAAUGUUGCUGUAAUUUUUUUUCUUCUCCCAUCUAUGUGAUCGAUUCUAAAAAAAAAUCACACACACAUAAUUGAUAUUUGAUAAAUCCCAUUGGAUGUUUCUUAUAAUGCCAUCUUGUGGAUUUUGUAGGUACAUUCACUCUUUCAAACCUUGGUAUGUUUGGUGUUGAUCGCUUUGAUGCAAUUCUGCCUCCAGGAACUGGAGCAAUCAUGGCGGUUGGAGCAUCCCAACCAACUGCAGUUGCUACCAAGGAUGGCUGGAUUGGUGUGAAAAGUCAAAUGCAGGUGAAUGUUACUGCAGAUCUUCUGCGUUGUUUGUCUGACGCUCCAGACACAUAGGUUAUUAUUGUUGCAAAGAAGAUAAAAAGGAAGACUUCUAGCCCCAGUUUCAGUUGAAGGCGGCCCAGACGUAAUUUCUUCUUAACUGGCUAUUUUGUAGGUACAUAUCGUUGCUUCAACUGUUGGAUUUGUUGAUACCAUCAAAGAAGGUUUCACCGGAUUCCAGAUGGGAUCCUUCAAUGUUGAUUGCGAGGUUGUUGAUCCCAUAUAGGUGACUGCAGUUGCCACAACCAUCAAGAGGGCCCUUUCCGUCUACGGCACGCCUGCUUUCAUGGAGAUGAUUAAUAACUGUAUGACCCAAGAUCUUUCCUGGAAGCUGUUGAACCAUGUCGGGAAAUGUCAAUAGUGCAGCCCAAUUCGGAGUAAUGGAAGAAUCUCUGAUGAAAUCUUUUUACUCACAUUGAGAACACUAGAGACAUCACUGUCAGCAGUUACCUAAUCAUGGCAAUAUAUGGGAGCUAGUGAAGAUCUCAACUUUUCGAUGGCUCAAUGAGAUGGCGCAUACUUGAAGUUUCAGAAACAGGUCGAAUCUUGAUCUCCAAUCUUCCUAUGGAUGAUCUGGCUACAAUUUUGCACCUUCCAACAAAUACCAAUCUAUCAAUGGAUUCGACCAAACUUCCAUCAGAUACAACAGCUUGGAUUAGAGAAGCCAGACCUGGUACCUUUCAUCCCUUCCAUGUUCGAGUAUUUGAGGGAAAGGGGGAUGCAAGUCAAAGUAAAGGUUGUCUACUUCACAAUUGAGGCUUUGUAGCUUAGUCCAUUCAUGGAUUUGGCCCACUAGACUGCAUGGGCAAACGAUCAAGACCACCACCCAUCUGCUCAACCCUACCGUUGUGGGUGAUUGUACAGAAGACGGAGAAUCUGUGCUACCUGAUUUCAGUUCUGUAGUUAGAUUAUGAAGACCAACAUCUACACAAACCUAUCAUUUGUGAGUGAUUGUACAAAAAAACAUGCGGAUAGGAGAAUCCUAGCUGCCCAAUUUUCUCUGUUGAAUGUGAUAUUUAUACAGUUUGUACAAAAAAUGGCUGAUUUUUGUCAUCACCCGUUUGCUUGAAGACUCUUUCUCAGACAGGAUUUUCCAAUUGAUGUGAUAUUUUUGCAAUUAAUUGCCUGUUGCCAUAGGGCUUAUAAGAUUAAC